rnacentral:rRNA from 1 species
AUUGAACGCUGGCGGCAGGCCUAACACAUGCAAGUCGAACGGUAACAGGAAGCAGCUUGCUGCUUUGCUGCCGAGUGGCGGACGGGUGAGUAAUGUCUGGGAAACUGCCCGAUGGAAGGGGAUAACUACUGGAAACGGUAGCUAAUACCGCAUAACGUAGCACGACCAAAGAGGGGGACCUUGGGGCCUCUUGCCCUCGGAUGUGCCCAGAUGGGAUUAGCUAGUAGGUGGGGUAACGGCUCACCUAGGCGACGAUCCCUAGUUGGUCUGAGAGGAUGUCCAGCCACACUGGAACUGAGACACGGUCCAGACUCCUACGGGAGGCAGCAGUGGGGAAUAUUGCACAAUGGGCGCAAGCCUGAUGCAGCCAUGCCGCGUGUAUGAAGAAGGCCUUCGGGUUGUAAAGUACUUUCAGCGGGGAGGAAGGGAGUAAAGUUAAUACCUUUGCUCAUUGACGUUACCCGCAGAAGAAGCACCGGCUAACUCCGUG